rnacentral:tRNA from 1 species
GCCUGGGUGGCUUAGUUGGUUAAGCAUCCAACUUCAGCUUAGGUCAUGAUCUCGAGGUACGUGAGUUCGAGCCCCGCGUCAGGCU